rnacentral:rRNA from 1 species
GUCAGCAGCCACACCGCCUGCAGCUAAGACUCAGUACUGCACCGGAAGCUGAGCAGGUUUGGGCCUGGUCAGUACGUGGAUGGGUGACCAAUGAAGAAAGCUGGGUUGCUGCUGGAA